rnacentral:rRNA from 1 species
CGCAUCUGUGCAUGCAGCAUAUCAAUAAGCGGAGGAAAAGGCUGCGGAACUGAACGACCGCUACCUACGCUUAGGAUGUUGACACACGCGCGUGCUCGAUCUAUACAUGACUCUGCGUAUAUCAAUAAGCGGAGGAAAAGAAACUAACAAGGAUUCCCUUAGUAACGGCGAGUGAAGCGGGAAGAGCUCAAAUUUGAAAUCUUCAAGGUUUUACCUUGACGAAUUGUAGUUUAAAGAAGUGUUUUCUGUUGAAGUUUUGGUAAAAGUUCUUUGGAAUAGGACAGUCAUAGAGGGUGAGAAUCCCGUAUUUGACCAUUAUUUUCAGCUGUGUGAUACACUUUCAAAGAGUCGGAUUGUUUGGGAAUGCAGUCCAAAAUGGGUGGUAAAUUUCAUCUAAAGCUAAAUAUUGGCGAGAGACCGAUAGCGAACAAGUACCGUGAGGGAAAGAUGAAAAGAACUUUGAAAAGAGAGUUAAACAGUACGUGAAAUUGUCAAAAGGGAAGCGUUUGACACCAGUGUUGUUUUCUCGAAAAUCAAUUAAAAAGAGUUAGAUUUUGUUGUGUAUUGACCUUAACAGCUUGCAUUUCAAUUUUCUUGCUUUUUUUAAUGCACUUUUCGUUUAACAAGUCAACAUCAGUUUCUUUUGUUGUAAAAAGGUCAUUGGAAGGUGGCUUUCUUUUCGGAGAAAGUGUUUAUAGCCUUUGACUCCUGCAAUCGGAGAGACUGAGGUCUGCAGCGUAGAUCCUUCGGGGUUAGAUACAUUUGUGCUAAGUUAUAGCUUUUUAUAGACAACUUGUUGACUAUGAUUAGUCUUGUAGCUUACUCGCUUAUGCUAUUUUACCUACGCUUAGGAUGUUGACACACGCGCGUGCUCG